rnacentral:lncRNA from 1 species
UGAAUACAUAAUAAUUUUUAAAUUAUAAUUUAUAUAAUACUAAUGUCAUGGUCCAAGCCUCCUAGCAUGGCCUAUCCCAUGGAUGAUUUUAGACGGAUGUAGUGUGUAAAUAUUUUUCAUGUAUUUAUUUAUAGGUAGGCGGUGAUUGAACAUUAAACCACUCUCUUGUACUUUAUAUAUAGGAGGGGCCUCAUUUUGGCCAAGACACACAAGCAACACAACAAAUCCAGCACACAUAGUUUUGUAAGCAUUUCAUCGAGCAAUAAGAGCUUUUUCCUCCCAUCUUGAGCGAGUUUGAGUGAAUACACUUUUCGACUUUCGAAUCCAACACCGGAUUUGAGUGGGCAAGGUUGACUUAGGGCUAAGUGUGUAUGAAUUGACACCUAAGGUCUCACGGCACAACGUGGGAACAAGCAGGCCGUGACAGUUGGUAUCAGCUUCAAAUUUUAUCACAAAUUUUCAAUAAUAAUACAUAAUAUAAGAUGAGAAAUAAUUUAUAAAGUAGAGAUAUUUU